rnacentral:rRNA from 1 species
CUGCAACCCGACUCCACGAAGUUGGAUUCGCUAGUAAUCGCGCGUCAGCCAUGGCGCGGUGAAUACGUUCCCGGGCCUUGUACACACCGCCCGUCAAGCCAUGGGAGCCGGGGGCGCCUGAAGUCCGGGACCGCGAGGACCGGCCUAGGGCGAAACUGGUAACUGGGGCUAAGUCGUAACAAGGUAAC